UACGUAGGGUGCGAGCGUUGUCCGGAAUUAUUGGGCGUAAAGAGCUCGUAGGCGGUCUGUCGCGUCGAUCGUGAAAACUUGGGGCUUAACCCUGAGCUUGCGGUCGAUACGGGCAUGACUGGAGUUCGGCAGGGGAGACUGGAAUUCCUGGUGUAGCGGUGAAAUGCGCAGAUAUCGGGAGGAACACCGGUGGCGAAGGCGGGUCUCUGGGCCGAUACUGACGCUGAGGAGCGAAAGCGUGGGGAGCGAACAGG
rnacentral:rRNA from 1 species